GCGGUGCCCGAUGCGGUGGCCGAGGCGGUUCCCGAUGCAAUGUCCGAUGCCGAGGCGGUGCCCGAUGCGGUGCCAGAGACGGUGCCAGAGACGGUUCCCGAUGUAAUGCCCGAGACCGAUGCUGUUCCGCAGGUCGAGGCGGUGCCCGAGGCUGUGCCCGAUGCCGACACGGUGCCCGAUGCUGUUCCGGAGGCCGAGGCGGUGCCCGAUGCGCAGGCCGAGGUCGUUGCCGAGGCGGUGUCCUUGUCCGAGGUCGUGCCCGAGGCCGUUCCCGAGGCGGUGUCCUUGUCCAAUGCCGUUCCUGAGGCCGUUCCUGAGACCGUUCCCGAGGCGGUGCCCGAUGCCGAGACCGUUCCCGAGGCGGUGUCCUUGUCCGAUGCCGUUCCUGAGGCCGAUGCGGGGCCCGAGAUGGUUCCGGAGGCGAUACCCGUGUCCAAGGCCGUUCCCGAGGCGGUGCCCUUGUCUGAGGCCGUUCCCGAUGCCGUUCCCAAUGCCGUGACCUGGCCAUCGCCACAGCCUGCUCCUUACUGGCUCCCCGAUUGGCAGGUUCCGUUCGGGCCACUCAAAUGGCGAAUUCCUCCCUGGCCGUCUGCACAACGAGAAUGGACUGAUCCACCGUGGCCACCUGAACUGCCUGGCCCCUCGUGGUCCCCUGAACUUUCGGGUCCACCGUGGCCACCUGAACUGCCUGGUCCCUCGUGGUCCCCUGAACUUUCGGGUCCACCAUGG
ensembl:lncRNA